rnacentral:rRNA from 1 species
UACUUAGUCCAGAUGGCGGCUGAGGAGAGGGAGGGACAAGGGCUAAGUCUAGGUACGGGUCGGAGGGAGGGUCGCGCCGACGGUGUGGGAGCUAGAGGGCGCGGCGGCAGGGUUGCUAGAGGGCGAGGUAGAAGCAGAGGGUGGUAGAUAGCGAGGAGGUGGCGGGGUGGGAGAGGGGGAUACGUCGGAUGAGUCUAGACGCUACCCCCGUGGGCGCCGCCAUCGCCGCGAGGCCGUAGGCGCAGUUCCAGUCGGGGAACGAGCAGAAGUACCCACACCACCAGCUCCUUCCACCAACUCCAGCCGCUCUAUUUGCAAGAGCGGAUGGGCGACCGGUCCUGGUUCCUGCCGACGGAGCUGUGAGGCAGAGGAAGUGUUAGAGCGCGACCCUUUCCUCCCCCACCGGCGACAAAAGAAGCCGUGAGGAACCGGAAAAAACGUAGCGGUGUCUCAUAUAUACUUUGACUUUUCUACCACCUCCUCUAUUGACUUCAGCUCCCACGCCAAUUACUGUAGUUUACACAACUACUUUAUCUCGGAAGACUUCUUGUCUCCUCUUUUUAUGUCUUUCUGCAAGUAUAGGAAUUUUCUUUAUCGAAGUGUGUGCUGUUAUCGACGUGCUGGAUGCUUGCUACAAGGGACUGGUUGUCGCGAGAACGGUCGUACGAGCGACAACCGCGACGGUACCGUCUUAACACGUUCGUAGCCCGUACGUCAACAACAUUAACU